rnacentral:Y_RNA from 1 species
GGCAGGUCCGAAGGUAGUAGUUAUCUCACUUGAUUGUUCACAGUCAGUGACAGAUUGAACUCCUUGUUCUACUACUUUCCCCCCUCCUCACUACUGCACUUGACUAGUCUUAA